GAUGAACGCUGACAGAAUGCUUAACACAUGCAAGUCCACUUGAACUUCGGUUUGGGUGGCGGACGGGUGAGUAACGCGUAAAGAACUUGCCUCACAGCUAGGGACAACAUUUGGAAACGAAUGCUAAUACCUGAUAUUAUGAUUUUAGGGCAUCCUAGAAUUAUGAAAGCUAUAUGCGCUGUGAGAGAGCUUUGCGUCCCAUUAGCUAGUUGGAGAGGUAACGGCUCACCAAGGCGAUGAUGGAUAGCCGGCCUGAGAGGGUGAACGGCCACAAGGGGACUGAGACACGGCCCUUACUCCUACGGGAGGCAGCAGUGGGGAAUAUUGGACAAUGGACCAAGAGUCUGAUCCAGCAAUUCUGUGUGCACGAUGAAGUUUUUCGGAAUGUAAAGUGCUUUCAGUUGGGAAGAAAAAAAUGACGGUACCAACAGAAGAAGUGACGGCUAAAUACGUG
rnacentral:rRNA from 1 species